CUGCAAAUGAAUGAUAAUAUUUCCUUUUAUUUCAAGACUUUAGAAUCUGAACACAGUUUGAGACAUUAUUCAGAUUUGUUGAACCCCUACAGAAGACACAUCAGGAAACAAAUCUCUAGUUGUUCUCUCUUCUUCUUCAUCCUCCUCUCUACCUGCCCAUCGAGGUCUGCAGUGGUCAGCCAGGAAACAAAGUGCACAUGACUCUACCACUUGUUGGACGAGGUGAAGGGGAGGGUGACGGGGACAGGAGAUGCUAAGAUGGAAAAGCAAAAAAAGUUACCACCCUGGCUAAGAAAGAUGGACAGUCUGCGAAAUCGGUGGAUGGGCUCUCCAUGUGUAAACAGUUGUUGAUUUGGAGGGUUUGGUGAAAGCAGCGAGCAUUUCAUGCCUGAUUCCUCGGAUGUAAGGCGUGUCUCCUGCAUGCAGCCAGGCGGAAAUAUCAGUGCUCCUCUGAGGAGAAAAACUAGAAUGAGAGGAAGAAGAAGGGAGUAACAUCCCCACCCAUCCCGCUGCAGCUGUUUCCAACAACCUGAAUUCAAAUCAGAAGAGACAAUGCUGAUUACAAAUACUCUCAUCUCUCAAAAGUCACCCCCAAUCCUCACCCCAAUUAUUACUGAGAAAGAAAGAUGGAAUGAGAUGUUGAAAGAAAGAGAGGCAGAAUUUGUUAUUAAAUUUGUUUUGACAGAGUGGCAACAAUUCAUCUCAGGGAUUCACAACCAUUCCUGAGAGAUGCUGAAAGCCACUAGUACAAGCCUCCUUGAAUAGAUUUCUCUUUACUACUUCUCCCACUGAGAGGAUCCCACAUUGAGCUACAGAAAAUUAAAGGAACAAUUUACUUGCAAUGAAAAUUCUGUCCCGUUUACUCAUCCUAAUGAAUGACUUUCUUUCUUUGUAACAGUAAUCAAGAAGUUUGGAAUAAAGCACGCAAUGACCAGGGGCUAUCGAGUUUCAUAAAAGCUAUACUGUAUAAAAACUUAAUACAAAUAUUCUUAUUUUAUGUUCUUAUUUAAAGUCUUCAAAAGCCAUACAAUAAAUCAGCUUUUAUAUUUGAGUUUUUCAGUGACUCACUUCUAAAGUGUUGCUUGUUCUGUUUCUGAACCAGCAAUUUUGAGGCAAUGAUUCACUGAAUUGCUCAUAAAGACAGCCUUUUUUUUUUUUUGAAUGAAUUAAUCUUUUGAAUA